GGGGAUUUAGCUCAGCGGUAGAGCGCUUGCCUAGCAGGCGCGAGGCCCUGGGUUCGAUCCCCAGCUCCG
rnacentral:tRNA from 1 species